UUUGCAAGUGGAAAAGUCAAAAUUGUUUCAGCCAAUUGUGGGGCAGUGACACAGUGACCAGGCACAGACAGCCUGGUCCUCAGUCGAGCACAGGCCUUGAACCCCGGUGAUCCUAAGGGACAGCAGGUGUUAGGCCAUGCACUCUGGGCCCCUGACUCCCGUUGCAGCUACAACCUCCCACAUUCCUGCCCCCCACCCCCAGAGAAAUGUGUGGCCAUCAGUCACAUAGGCAAUGCCCCAAGCUCCUGGUUUUCUGUCUGUACUCCACCCCCACAGUUACCUGGCAACUGCCAGGUAUGCUCCUCCCCACAGUUACCUGGCAAAAACCAGGUAGACCCAGCCCACUAUAAAAGGGACUGCUUGCCCCCUACUCCCUCUCUUACUCUCUUAUACUUUUUCUCUUACUCUCUCCUCUCACUCUCCUGUUCCCUCACCCUCCUGUUUCCUCUCCCUUCUGUUCCCUCUCCCUCCACCCCCCCCCCUUCACAUGGCCGAAUCAGGCCUCUACUUCUCUACUCUUCUCCCUCUCUCUGCCUUUCUACAAUAAACGCCUUAAAACCAUGGACUGCCUCUUCUCAUCAGGACCCACCAUGUAGUAGCAAUGGAGCAUGUCUUUAGAGAGAGAUUCCCUGUGCUCCAGGCAGGGCCUCCAACAACCCAAGCUGCCUGCUGAACAAGCCACCAGGCAAAACAAGAACUCUCAUCCUCACA
rnacentral:lncRNA from 1 species